AACGCACAUUGCGCCCGCCAGUAUUCUGGCGGGCAUGCCUGUCCGAGCGUCAUUUCAACCAUCAAGCUCUGCUUGCGUUGGGGAUCCGCGGCUGCCCGCGGUCCCUCAAAAACAGUGGCGGGCUCGCUAGUCACACCGAGCGUAGUAACUCUACAUCGCUAUGGUCGUGCGGCGGGUUCUUGCCGUAAAACCCCCCAACUUCUAAGGUUGACCUCGGAUCAGGUAGGAAUACCCGCUGAACUUAA
rnacentral:misc_RNA from 1 species